UUGAAGGUUGGGUAACACUAACUGGAGGACCGAACCGACUAAUGUUGAAAAAUUAGCGGAUGACCUGUGGCUGGGGGUGAAAGGCCAAUCAAACCGGGAGAUAGCUGGUUCUCCCCGAAAGCUAUUUAGGUAGCGCCUCGUGAAUUCAUCUCCGGGGGUAGAGCACUGUUUCGGCUAGGGGGCCAUCCCGGCUUACCAACCCGAUGCAAACUGCGAAUACCGGAGAAUGUUAUCACGGGAGACACACGGCGGGUGCUAACGUCCGUCGUGAAGAGGGAAACAACCCAGACCGCCAGCUAAGGUCCCAAAGUCAUGGUUAAGUGGGAAACGAUGUGGGAAGGCCCAGACAGCCAGGAUGUUGGCUUAGAAGCAGCCAUCAUUUAAAGAAAGCGUAAUAGCUCACUGGUCGAGUCGGCCUGCGCGGAAGAUGUAACGGGGCUAAACCAUGCACCGAAGCUGCGGCAGCGACACUAUGUGUUGUUGGGUAGGGGAGCGUUCUGUAAGCCUGCGAAGGUGGCCUGUGAGGGUUGCUGGAGGUAUCAGAAGUGCGAAUGCUGACAUAAGUAACGAUAAAGCGGGUGAAAAGCCCGCUCGCCGGAAGACCAAGGGUUCCUGUCCAACGUUAAUCGGGGCAGGGUGAGUCGACCCCUAAGGCGAGGCCGAAAGGCGUAGUCGAUGGGAAACGGGUUAAUAUUCCCGUACUUGGUGUUACUGCGAAGGGGGGACGGAGAAGGCUAUGUUGGCCGGGCGACGGUUGUCCCGGUUUAAGCGUGUAGGUGUGUGUUCCAGGUAAAUCCGGUU
rnacentral:rRNA from 1 species